rnacentral:rRNA from 1 species
CCUACGGGAGGCAGCAGUGAGGAAUAUUGGUCAAUGGGCGCAAGCCUGAACCAGCCAAGUCGCGUGAAGGAUGACUGCCCUACGGGUUGUAAACCUCUUUUAUAAGGGAGUAACGUGUGGCACGUGUGCCUGUUUGUAUGUACCUUAUGAAUAAGGAACGGCUAACUCCGUGCCAGCAGCCGCGGGAAUACGGAGGAACCGAGCGUUAUCCGGAUUUAUUGGGUUUAAAGGGAGCGUAGAUGGGUUGUUAAGUCAGUUGUGAAAGUUUGCGGCUCAAACGUAAAAUUGCAAUUGAUACUGGCGGUCUUGAGUACAGGUGAGGUAGGCGGAAUUCGUGGUGUAGCGGUGAAAUGCUUAGAUAUCACGAAGAACUCCGAUUGCGAAGGCAGCUUACUAAACUGCCACUGACACUGAUGCUCGAAAGUGUGGGUAUCAAACAGGAUUAGAUACCCGAGUAGUC